rnacentral:ncRNA from 1 species
AAACUCUGGAGAACUCUUAAAUGAGUGCCGAAGGUGCAAGGUCGCGCCCCUCUUGGGCGGGCUGAAACUCUCAGGCAAACGGACAGAGGCGA